UUACGUUGGUUUCUCUUCAAAUCGCAUAAAUCUUUCGCCUUUUACUAAAGAUUUCCGUGGAGAGAAACGGUUAUGCGUCUUUAUCUAAUUUUUUGGUUAAGCCUCGCGUUUCGCGAGGCU